rnacentral:rRNA from 1 species
UUCCGGUUGAUCCCGCCGGACCCUACUGCUAUCGGGGUGGGACUAAGACAUGCGAGUUGAGCGUCUCUAAGCCAUGGUAGAGACGCGGCGUACGGCUCAGUAACACGUGGCUAACCUACCCUUAGGACGGGGACAACCCCGGGAAACUGGGGCUAAUACCCGAUAGGCGAGGAGGCCUGGAAUGGUUCUUAGUCGAAAAGGCGUUGAAACCAUGCUUUUCGACGUUGCCUAAGGAUGGGGCCGCGCCCGAUCAGGUUGUUGGUGGGGUAACGGCUCACCAAGCCUAUAACCGGUACGGGCCGUGAGAGCGGGAGCCCGGAGAUGGGCACUGAGACAAGGGCCCAGGCCCUACGGGGCGCAGCAGUCGCGAAAACUCCGCAAUGCGCGAAAGCGUGACGGGGCUACCCCGAGUGCCGCCCGCUGAGGAUGGCUUUUCCCCGGUGUAAUGAGCCGGGGGAAUAAGGAGAGGGCAAGUCUGGUGUCAGCCGCCGCGGUAAUACCAGCUCUCCGAGUGGUAGGGAUGAUUAUUGGGCUUAAAGCGUCCGUAGCCGGCUUAGCAAGUCUCCUGUUAAAUUCAGCGACCUAAUCGUUGAGCCGCGGGAGAUACUACUAGGCUAGGAGGCGGGAGAGGCCGACGGUAUUCUCGGGGUAGGGGUGAAAUCCUAUAAUCCCGGGAGGACCACCAGUGGCGAAGGCUGUCGGCUAGAACGCGCUCGACGGUGAGGGACGAAAGCUGGGGGAGCGAACCGGAUUAGAUACCCGGGUAGUCCCAGCUGUAAACGAUGCGGGCUAGGUGUUGGGGUGGCUACGAGCCACUUCAGUGCCGCAGGGAAGCCAUUAAGCCCGCCGCCUGGGGAGUACGGCCGCAAGGCUGAAACUUAAAGGAAUUGGCGGGAGAGCACCACAAGGCGUGAAGCUUGCGGUUCAAUUGGAUUCAACGCCGGG